rnacentral:ncRNA from 1 species
ACAGUCCUUGUCGACGGGAGCUCGUUGCGUCAAUGAACGCCUAGUGAGAUACAACUUGCUGACAACCCACGAUACAAACACAAUAGUGUCUGCGCGCGGCUCCUUGUCUGCGUGUGGAGCAAUUUCUGAGACC